GGCUCAUUAAUCAGUUAUCGUUUAUUUGAUAGUUCCUUUACUACAUGGUAUAACUGUGGUAAUUCUAGAGCUAAUACAUGCUUAAAAUCUCGACCCUUUGGAAGAGAUGUAUUUAUUAGAUAAAAAAUCAAUGUCUUCGGACUCUUUGAUGAUUCAUAAUAACUUUUCGAAUCGCAUGGCCUUGUGCUGGCGAUGGUUCAUUCAAAUUUCUGCCCUAUCAACUUUCGAUGGUAGGAUAGUGGCCUACCAUGGUUUCAACGGGUAACGGGGAAUAAGGGUUCGAUUCCGGAGAGGGAGCCUGAGAAACGGCUACCACAUCCAAGGAAGGCAGCAGGCGCGCAAAUUACCCAAUCCUAAUUCAGGGAGGUAGUGACAAUAAAUAACGAUACAGGGCCCAUUCGGGUCUUGUAAUUGGAAUGAGUACAAUGUAAAUACCUUAACGAGGAACAAUUGGAGGGCAAGUCUGGUGCCAGCAGCCGCGGUAAUUCCAGCUCCAAUAGCGUAUAUUAAAGUUGUUGCAGUUAAAAAGCUCGUAGUUGAACUUUGGGCCCGGUUGGCCGGUCCGAUUUUUUCGUGUACUGGAUUUCCAACGGGGCCUUUCCUUCUGGCUAACCUUGAGUCCUUGUGGCUCUUGGCGAACCAGGACUUUUACUUUGAAAAAAUUAGAGUGUUCAAAGCAGGCGUAUUGCUCGAAUAUAUUAGCAUGGAAUAAUAGAAUAGGACGUUUGGUUCUAUUUUGUUGGUUUCUAGGACCAUCGUAAUGAUUAAUAGGGACGGUCGGGGGCAUCAGUAUUCAAUUGUCAGAGGUGAAAUUCUUGGAUUUAUUGAAGACUAACUACUGCGAAAGCAUUUGCCAAGGACGUUUUCAUUAAUCAAGAACGAAAGUUAGGGGAUCGAAGAUGAUCAGAUACCGUCGUAGUCUUAACCAUAAACUAUGCCGACUAGGGAUCGGGUGGUGUUUUUUUAAUGACCCACUCGGCACCUUACGAG
rnacentral:rRNA from 1 species